rnacentral:pre_miRNA from 1 species
GUAGUACUCCCUCCGUCCUAAAAUUCUUGUCUUAGAUUUGUCCAAAUACGGAUGUAUCAAGUCAUGUUUUAGUAUUAGAUACAUCCGUGUCUAGACAAAUCUAAGACAAGAAUUUUGGGACGGAGGGAGUAUUUC